rnacentral:rRNA from 1 species
GACGAACGCUGGCGGCGUGCUUAACACAUGCAAGUCGAACGAAGAGCGAUGGAAGCUUGCUUCUAUCAAUCUUAGUGGCGCACGGGUGAGUAACGCGUAAUCAACCUGCCCUUCAGAGGGGGACAACAGUUGGAAACGACUGCUAAUACCGCAUACGAUCCAAUCUCGGCAUCGGGACUGGAUGAAAGGUGGCCUCUAUUUAUAAGCUAUCACUGAAGGAGGGGAUUGCGUCUGAUUAGCUAGUUGGAGGGGUAACGGCCCACCAAGGCGAUGAUCAGUAGCCGGUCUGAGAGGAGGAACGGCCACAUUGGGACUGAGACACGGCCCAGACUCCUACGGGAGGCAGCAGUGGGGAAUCUUCCGCAAUGGACGAAAGUCUGACGGAGCAACGCCGCGUGAGUGAGGACGGCCUUCGGGUUGUAAAGCUCUGUUAAUCGGGACGAAUGGUUCUUGUGCGAAUAGUGCGAGGAUUUGACGGUACCGGAAGAGAAAGCCACGGCUAACUACGUG